CCAGGCUCCGAUCGAAGCCCGUCGUGUUUCCUCGUAGCAGCGACGGGUCAAUAGGAAGCCGAGAGCCACACUUCCACCGACGGUCGCUGCUCGGCCUGGAAGUGGCUGCUGCAGCAACAUUAAGGGGAAGGACACAC
ensembl:snoRNA